rnacentral:ncRNA from 1 species
UUGGUUGGGUGAGCGAUAUAUGCUCAGUUUAAAGAUUAAGCCAUGCAUGUCGAAUUCAUCUAUAGAGAAACUGCGAACGGCUCAUUAGAGCAGAUGUCAUUUAUUCGGAACGUCCUAUUGGAUAACUGCGGUAAUUCUGGAGCUAAUACAUGCAAUAAAACCUUGACGCUUGUAGCGGUGUAAUUAUUAGUGCAAAUCAAUCAUCUUCGGUUAGUGCACAGCGCCGGAUAGGUUGAGACGCGGGCUCGAAUCUCGCCUAAAAUGCGAUUUUUGCGAUAAACCUAGCAGCAUCAUUGCAACAUCUUCGGAUGUUGUUUGCUAGCUCCGAAUAACGCAGCACGUCGACAGGUAGCCCGGCGAUGUUCCGGGAAAGCGUCUGCCCUAUCAACCUGAAGGCAGUCUACUAGUCUACCGUGGUUAAAAGUAAGAGCACAAGAGUCCACCAACGGAUAAGGACCCUUAGAAACGGCUACGGCAUCCAAGGCAGCAGGCGAAAAAGUUAUCCAAUCUUGGGUAGAUGAGAUAGUGAGGCUCAAGCGAAGGGCAAGUCUGGUGCCAGCAGCCGCGAUUGCUCCUGCUCCACUAGUGUAAAUCGUCACUGCUUGAAGACCUCGUAGUUGGAUCUGAGUUAUAUGCAGUGGUACACCCUUGGUAUUAAUCGCUGUUGGCUAUUUGCCGGUUUUCUAGGCUUUCUAUUGAAGCUUCGUCUUUUUUAGUGGCUAGUGAGCUUUGAAGCUUCGGCUUUUUUGGUGGCGUGUGAGCUUACUCUGAGUAAAUUGCAGUGCUCCUUAAAAUAUCUGCAACGUAAAUUGCAGUGCUCUUCAAAAUAUCUGCAAAAACGGUCAAUUUAUAGACGAACAAACGAAUAAAGUGUAAUUGCA